AGGGCUUCUUAUCCAGGGUGGACCGGAGAGCCAGGGAACUUGGAUCUCAUCUCUCAUUGUCGGAUUCGAUGACCUAACCGAAAUCAGACGUCAAAAGGAGUGGAAUCCGAGAGACAUUUCAAUGGUUCUAUUUAAUCGUCCUCGUUUAAGUGAAUACUUAAGAAUUCAACCUGUCUCAAAGAGCCCAGAACUGAUCUCUCUUCGCUUGGAAGUACUUGGUUGCAAGAAUGACUGCCAUUUUGAUUUGGGCGUGUCAUCUGGACACCUACCAUCCUCCAAUAUCCGGGUCCCAUACCGUUUCAACCAAUCAGGAGUUCAGAGCGACGACGUCAGAAUGAAACCAUCCAAUCACUACCCGCCAAAUGAAUGGCUAGGUCAAUUACCCGAGGACGAUGAAAACUUUAUCGAAGUGAUUUUCCAAGAAGACGUUUUGGUCCGUAACGCUAUUAUCCAACAGUGCAAUGGAUCUAGAAUCAUAUUAUUCAGUGUUGAUGCUUUCCAAGGCAAUGUCACAA